rnacentral:rRNA from 1 species
CACAAAAGUGCCUUUCGGGGUAACCAGGAGACAGGUGCUGCAUGGCUGUCGUCAGCUCGUGUCCGUGAGAUGUUGGGUUAAGUCCCGCAACGAGCGCAACCCUUAUCUUUAAUUGCCAGCAUUCAGUUGGGCACUUUAAAGAGACUGCCGGUGUUUAAACCGGAGGAAGGUGGGAUGACGUCAAGUCCUCAUGGCCUUUAUGCUUAGGGCUACACACGUGCUACAAUGGGUGGUACAAAGAGAAGCCAACUCGCGAGAGCGCGCCAAUCUCAAAAGCCAUCCUCAGUUCGGAUUGGAGUCUGCAACUCGACUCCAUGAAGUUGGAAUCGCUAGUAAUCGCGGAUCAGCAUGCCGCGGUGAAUACGUUCCGGCCUU